CCUCACCCCCUUAAAACUAUCCCAAUCGACCCCCCCAAACCGUGAAGACCCCUCCCCAUUCUCUCAUCUCUCUCAAACUUUAACCAGCUGCCCCUAAACCACCCCAACUCCCUGACCAGCGGCCACCACCAUAACUCCUCCAAAUCUACCCAAAUUCACACCCCGUAAUCCCCUCCUCCCCCUCAUCUCAUAUCUCAUUUUAGUAUCUUUUAAAACAUCCUAGAACUCCCUAAGUUUUAGAUCUAUAAUGUCCAGAAAUGUCAAGCUUCUUUUUCUUCAAAUUUUCCGUUGAUUUUAGCAUGUUUUGAGUUAAAACUAACAUUAGCUAAUGGUUUUUGUAAUAUGGGGGUCUGGAAGGGCGAUACAGGAAUAAAAAUUGAGGGAAUAUUAUCUAUAACCGAUUGAGAACAUUCUAGAAAUAGGAUAAGGGAUCAAGAUACAAUGAAAUUAGAAUUUAGGUCAGAUUUUGGGUAAAAUAGGCCAAUAUGAAAGGUAAAAAGGGUUAAAUAAUAUAUAGGAAAUAUCUGGAUAAGACAACUGUCCUAACAGUUGUCCAUUUCUGUUAGAAAGGAUUCUUUUUCCUUGAAAUUUUGGAGGAGCACAUGCGUUCUUCUCAUCUCUUAUUUAGGAAGAACUUCCUCUUCAUUUUUGGAGCACGGGAAAUAGACUCUAAAAAACUCUCAAAAAAUAAAAUCCAGCUGAAUUCUCGACUGACUCUUUCUGGGAAAACAUUUUUCUUCUUUUCGAUUUUCUGAUUUCUCUCUUUGAGUCAUGGUUUGAUAAUGAAGCUGUAUUGAUGAUUACUGCUGCUCCCUGCUGCUGAGUCCAUCACUCUUUGCUGAUUUCUAAACACAUUUUUUUUGUUGCUUGCUGUAUCAGGUACUACCUUGAAACCUUGAGCUGCAAGUUAAAUGUGAAGAUAUGAAUAUUUUUGGGAUUAAUACAACCAUGUCAUUUUUAGUAAAUAACUCUUAUGUUUUAUUAACUCAUGUAAUUCUUUCCUUGGUUAGCUAAUAUCAUGUGUUGUCUUUUACUAGUAGAUGAAGAUUUGUGUUUGGGACAUAAGAUUCAUGUAAUUAUGGCCUCUUUCUUCCUCUUCAUCUUCUCUGCAAUCUUGUUUAAUGUUUGAGGCGUGUACAACCAUUUCAUUCAGCCUUGUUUGAAUUGCAAUAUGAAAUGAAAUUAUUGAGUGUGUACCUGUAACAUUUCUUUAAUUUUAUUUUUGGUUUUGUUAAAUUUUAAGUGAAAGUUUGUUGUUGACUUAGGUUCCCUUGUUCUGUUAAAAUUUUGGAAUUGUUAUUUUGGAUUCAAAUCCAACUUAGAUAAGUUUAAAUUUGCCCGAAAAUUCUGUCUCUGUUUAAUAUUUGAAGUCAUGAGAGCAUUAAAUCACUUUGCUAAAUGGAGUUUAGCUUUUCUUUUGAAGACCUGUUUUAGCCCAUUGCAUUUAUGUUCAGCUAGCAUAUGAUAUUCAAUUAAGUGUUUUUGAGUUGGUUUAACAAAAGUUAAGUUUAAAUCCUUAAAGAUCGGAACUGGAUCAAAUGUUAUGGGUCUCAACUUAGGCCCAAGGACCCCUCACAUGUUUGGAUUAGAGUCCAGAUUUGUCGCCUAACCCCUAUCUGCAAAAAACAUGCGAUGUUAAUCAGUUAUUCCUCAGAUUUUUAUAGACUAGGAUCAUGAUUUGGGGAUUUGGAUUUCCUUAUGUCACCAUGUGAUAAAUUUGUUAAUUUGAUUCCAUGCUCAAUGUUGUAUUUUCGGAAUUGAUGUUAAUUUGUGCAUAAAGAGCGAAUUGAGCCAGGCUUCAUAAAUGGCCCAAAUAGGGUUGUGCAUAUAAGUCUGGAUACUUUCAAGAUUUGGGCCCUAGAAUUUGACCCAAAAUAAUUCAUAUGGACUUAAGGUGGCUAGUUUUUGUGUCCCAAUUGUUCAACAAGUUGGUUAAAAGGACCAACGACAUUUCCAGGCUUCUUGUUGUAAUCAGUAGUAAAACCAAACUCGAACAUAUAGCGUCAGGUCCAAGAAUGCUUAGCGAUAACAAUUUGUCUUUCCAUCAUAAUUAAGCAAACCCAACGAGCCUUAAGUUUGGUCCUUGAUUUCAGACAGAGACCUUAUACCAGUAUUAAGGAAUAAAAUAAUGAUACUCAUAGCUUGCUUUAGGCGCGUUCAAUAUACCAUCGUGGUUGUGUACACGUUCGCGUGACAUAAUUACGGUCUUAAAAACAAAAUCGGGAUAUGCGUUCGUGCAACUUUGACUAAACAUUCUUAAUAAUAAUAAAACGUUAUUAAUUGUGGACACGUUCGCGUGACAUGAUUUGACGCGCCAAACAAAUGGGUACACGUACGCGUGACCUGUUUCAAGAUAAUUUCUUAACUAAAAGAGGUAAAUGCACAUAGGUUCUAAAAUAAGUAAUUAAAUAAUUUGAUUAAGCCAAGUAUAAUCAAAGCGACCGUGCUAAAACCACGGAACCCAGAAAUGUCUAACACCUUCUCCCGGAUUAAUAGAAUUCCUUACUCGGAUUUCUGUGUUCGCAGACUGUAAAUAGAGUCAACUUCCUCGAUUCGGGAUUUUAAACCAGUGACUUGGGAUACCAAUACUUAUUCCAAGUGGCGACUCUGAUUUAAAUAUUAAUAAUUCCGUUUCGAUUAUCACUUAAAUUGGAAAAAACUCCCUUAUACCCCUUACGGGUAUAGGAAAAAAAAGGUGUGACACACACACACACACACACACACAUAUAUAUAAAUAUAUACGCGUAUAUAACGUCGUCUGAGUCAUAUUUCAGCCACUGUAGGCAACAUCAUCAUUGUAUACCAGCUGAUCAGGUGGUGGUGCGUAUAUAACACCAUAAUCUUUCCCAUAUCACAUAUACACAUAUAUACGCAUAUAUAACGCCAUCUAGUCAUGGGUCAACCUGCAUGUAUAAAUGCAUGGAAUGCGUUAAUAAAAUCUCUCGGUACGUCAUAAAACUAUUAUGUCUCUGAUUAAUAUCAUGAAAUAAAUUUUACCAACUUACGUAUUUUUGAAACCCAUGAACAUAUGAUAGAAUAAUAAACAUAAAUAAUUUUUCACUUUGGCAAUCCUCCCGGACAUUCAUGAUCUUUCCAAAAAAGAUCCAUCUUUCAAAGUGUUUAAGAAUGUUCUAAUUUACUACCUUUAUGGAAGAAAAAUAUUAUAUAAGCUAUAAAAAUUGCAGUGCUCAAUGCAGCUAAAUCUAUUUCCUUCUUUGUCCUCCUUAGAUUUAAUAAAGGACUUAUCACUAUAUAUUAAAUACUUUUUCCUCAGUCUUUCAGAAUUGCUUUGUUAAAAGUAUAAAGUCAUAAAUUUUCAGAUAUUGAACAUACUCGGACAACUUGCCGCUUCCAUUCCCAUAACAUCAAUUGCCAAUUUAAAUUGAAUAUCCUGCUAGUAAGGCGCA
rnacentral:lncRNA from 1 species